rnacentral:rRNA from 1 species
UGGGGGAUAUUGCACAAUGGGCGAAAGCCUGAUGCAGCGACGCCGCGUGGGGGAUGAAGGCUUUCGGGUUGUAAACCUCUUUCGCUAUCGAACAAGGCCCGCUUAGGGUGGGUUGAGGGUAGGUGGAGAAGAAGCGCCGGCUAACUACGUGCCAGCAGCCGCGGUAAUACGUAGGGCGCGAGCGUUGUCCGGAAUUAUUGGGCGUAAAGGGCUUGUAGGCGGCUUGUUGCGCCUGCUGUGAAAACGCGGGGCUUAACUUCGCGCGUGGAGUGGGUACGGUCAUGCUUGAGGGAGGUAGGGGGGACUGGGAUUCCAGGUGUGGCGGUGGAAUGCGCAGAUAUCUGGAGGAACACCGAUGGCGAAAGCAGGUCACUGGGGCAUUACUGACGCUGAGGAGCGAAAGCAUGGGUAGCGAACAGG